UAGGGAAUCUUCGGCAAUGGGCGAAAGCCUGACCGAGCAACGCCGCGUGAGCGAUGAAGGCCUUCGGGUCGUAAAGCUCUGUUGUUAAGGAAGAACAAGUACGAGAGUAACUGCUCGUACCUUGACGGUACUUAACGAGAAAGCCACGGCUAACUACGUGCCAGCAGCCGCGGUAAUACGUAGGUGGCGAGCGUUAUCCGGAAUUAUUGGGCGUAAAGCGCGCGCAGGCGGCUUCUUAAGUCUGAUGUGAAAGCCCACGGCUCAACCGUGGAGGGUCAUUGGAAACUGGGAAACUUGAGUGCAGAAGAGGAAAGCGGAAUUCCACGUGUAGCGGUGAAAUGCGUAGAGAUGUGGAGGAACACCAGUGGCGAAGGCGGCUUUCUGGUCUGUAACUGACGCUGAGGCGCGAAAGCGUGGGGAGCAAACAGGAUUAGGAUACCCUGGUAGUCCACGCCGUAAACGAUGAGUGCUAAGUGUUAGAGGGUUUCCG
rnacentral:rRNA from 1 species